rnacentral:rRNA from 1 species
GCCAGCGGGUCGGCGUGAAUGGUCAGUUGAUCACUGAAGUUAAGCAACGUUGCGCGUAGUAACUAUCCGGAUGGGUGACCAUCUGGGAAAUUGUGUGCUGCUGGUU